rnacentral:lncRNA from 1 species
ACCCCAAAACAAAAUUUAAAAGGAGCAUUACCUGGCUGGGUCUAAGCUCCAUAUAACUUGCUUGCAGGUGAUUUUGACUUGGACGCUGAAGAAAUGCUAUCCUUUGCUGCUCUGAGCCAUACCCCAGGCACUGGCCCAGAGCUGCCCCAAAGAUCCACAACCAUCCUGUGCUCCAAGCUGACCACCUCACUGCAGGCAGCAUCCUGAUCCCUGUGUGUCCUGCCUGCUGCGUGCAAACCUCUGUGUUCUUCCUCUUAUACCUGCCCUUCCUGCAGUGCCCGGGCCUGCCUGACUCAGGGAAAGAAGGCUGUCUGCGGCAGGGGCCCCACCUUUAAACUUCACACAUGAGUCAGCCUACACAGGCAGAGAGAGCACAUAACAGUUCCACAGGGUAUAUGUGUGUCACAGCAUGUGUGUCAGAGCACACGUGGAGCUCAGGGGACAACUUGGAGGAGCUGGUCCUCUCCUUCCAACAUGUAAAUUCCUGGAAUUGAACUUGGGUCCUCAGGUUUGCUUGCAGAUGCCUUCACCUGCUGAGCCAUUUUUUCAGUCCUCCUUCAGUAGUUUGAAUGCUCGCCCACCGUCAGCUCUUAGUUACUGAGGGCCCCUUGCAUGCGGUGGAUUGGAGCCUGGGAAGUUUCUGCCUUUGCUUUCUACAUGUGGGUUACAACACGCUUGUGUCAGCCCCUUCCAUCUACUGCAUUCAGGGCUGGAGGGCUUGGUGCUGAUGCGUUAGUGACCAUCAUGAGGUUUGGGAAGUGAUUACUUCUUCAAAUGUUUUCCUUUCUCUUUCUGGAGUCACCAUUAUACACUGGGACACUUGAGCUCCUUCAAACUCACAUCUGCCUCCAAAAGACGGUAUGAACAAAACUGUGUGAGCCCUGAACACUCCACAGUCUAUCAGAUUCUAGACCCAGUGGUGGAGUUGUGCACUUUGGUAGCCAGCUGAAGCAAGAAGUUUAGUCUGUCAUAGUUCUAGAAACUCCAAGCCCCACAUCAAUGUGCUGGCUGCCCCAGCUGUAUCAGGAGGGUCUCUUUGUGGUUUGUAGAUGACACACUUGAUUGAAAGAAAGCAACUUCUCUG